rnacentral:lncRNA from 1 species
UUUUGUGUGGAAGAAGAAGAGGAGGACUAGAUUUUUUGACAUGAAUUUAGAACCUUCUAAUGUAAAGCAUGUCAUUUUACGACUAAACCGAAAAAUAAGGUUUACGAAUAAAAUAUUUUGACAAUAUGUUGGCAUGAAUAUGAAUAUUUUGUACGAUAUAUAAAGUUAGUGAGAACUAUUUAACCACUUUUUAUUGUUAAUGAAGUUUUUUUUUUUUUUUACAAAUUUCUUAUUGAAGUUAUUAAGUCCUUGAUAGAAACUUUUAUUAAAC